rnacentral:rRNA from 1 species
UACGUAGGCGGUCUAACAAGUCAGGGGUGAAAUCCACCGGCUCAACCGGUGAACUGCCUUUGAAACUAUUAGACUUGAGGGUAAGAGAAGAAAGCGGAAUUCCUAGUGUAGUGGUGAAAUACGUAGAUAUUAGGAAGAAUACCGAUGGCGAAAGCAGCUUUCUAGCUUAUUCCUGACGCUGAGGUACGAAAGCUAGGGUAUCAAACG